GAAAUUGCGAUAAGUAGUGUGAAUUGCAGAAUUCAGUGAAUCAUCGAAUCUUUGAACGCACAUUGCGCCCCUUGGUAUUCCAUGGGGCAUGCCUGUUCGAGCGUCAUUUGUACCCUCAAGCUCUGCUUGGUGUUGGGUGUUUGUCCCGUCUCCGCGCGUGGACUCGCCCCAAAGUGAUUGGCAGCCGGCGUACUGGUCCCGGAGCGCAGCACAUGUCGCGCAAACGAGUGCCUUGGUACGGCGGCGUCCAUAAGCCCCUCUCUCACGCUCUUGACCUCGGAUCAGGUAGGGAUACCCGCUGAACUUAAGC
rnacentral:misc_RNA from 1 species